UGAAUCCAUAGGUUAAUGAGGCGAACCGGGGGAACUGAAACAUCUAAGUACCCCGAGGAAAAGAAAUCAACCGAGAUUCCCCCAGUAGCGGCGAGCGAACGGGGAGGAGCCCAGAGCCUGAAUCAGCAUGUGUGUUAGUGGAAGCGUCUGGAAAGGCGCGCGAUACAGGGUGACAGCCCCGUACACAAAAGCGCAUGUGCUGUGAGCUCGAUGAGUAGGGCGGGACACGUGGUAUCCUGUCUGAAUAUGGGGGGACCAUCCUCCAAGGCUAAAUACUCCUGACUGACCGAUAGUGAACCAGUACCGUGAGGGAAAGGCGAAAAGAACCCCGGCGAGGGGAGUGAAAAAGAACCUGAAACCGUGUACGUACAAGCAGUGGGAGCACAGGUUUACCUGUGUGACUGCGUACCUUUUGUAUAAUGGGUCAGCGACUUAUAUUCUGUAGCAAGGUUAACCGAAUAGGGGAGCCGGAGGGAAACCGAGUCUUAAU
rnacentral:rRNA from 1 species